CCCUACCUCGUCUCCCGUCUCCAGUCGCAGCCGCCGCCACACCUGCCGGCCCCUGCGCAGCACACCCACGCCGCCACACCUGCCGACCCCUGCGCAGCACACCCACCCCUGCGCUCGGCCACAGCGGCGGCGGCGGCGGCCGCGGUCCGGCUCCAGCGCGCCGGCGGCCGCGACGGAGGCCCCGGAGGCGGUCGUCGGGGCGGGCGGCGCGAGGUGGGAGCCGAUGGGCACGCGGGAGUACUACGAAUACCGGCGGGCCAUCUACGGCGACAUCACGCACAAGGCCAUCCUCGUCGACGCCGCCGGCACCCUCCUCGCCCCCACCGAGCCCAUGGCCCAGGUGUACAGAACAGUAGGCGAUAAGUAUGGGGUGAAGUACUUGGAGGAUGAUAUCUUGAUGAGGACCUCGAGGCCUUGGAGAGCCCGAGCCCCUCCGAACAAGACGCUCACGGGAGCUCUGCCUUGAUGGGGAAAGCAGCGGAGUUGGUGCAGUGGCGAAUGUGGGCGGGGUCGGCCGUGGAGGGAGACUUGCUGGUCGGAGCAGCAGGAGCAAGAAGAUUGAGGCGGUUCAGGGCAAGACAAGAACAUUAGUUGGAUCCAAAGUAUUGAGAUUGCAGAGGACUCAACAAAGGGUCUGCACUUAUUCUAUAAAUUCAGUAUCAGUUGAUGCAUGAUGAUGAUCAUCCACCGAGCAGCACAUCAUCUUGGAAAAGCAGAUGCGAAUUUCUGCUAGGGAUAAGCUGGUCAAUGCAGGAAAAUCUAAAAGAAAGCGACUAAAAUCAACAUUUGAAGUUCAUCGAAAAAUGAAGAGGAUCAUGCCUUUCUGUUGGAAUUGCUUUUCUGGUUUAAGCAAUCAUUCAGAUCACCCAUGCCUCCACUACGCCACCUGCUGUUGGAUGGCACUGGCCGUCCAAGCAUGUGGAACUGGAAGGACUGUCCGUCAUGGCGGCACAGCUCAUCUCAGAGGAGAAAAGACCAAGGUCCUGCAGGCAAUGAGUUACUAUAUAUGAUAUCAUAUUCCAAAUACAAUUAUUGAACUCAUCAGUUCAGCAGAUCCUACAUAAAAGGUGAAGUGAACAAACAGCAUGCAUUUGCUUUGGUUUAUGGUUUUUUACAGCAUCACUGAGUUUGCCAAAAGAAAUUUGCCCAAAACAAACAUCACGACACUCUGUUUUAGCCUAAACAGAAGUGGCUUUAGUUUAUGACAUCUCUGAAUUUUGAGAAUAGUAGGACAGGAUCUGCAAUUGCACUUUGCAAGUUUUACUGAUUUCUUGUGCAAGAUCCUAAAAUAGUUUACCAUUUGAUCCCUAGAUUUUCUUAUAUUGUUGAAGUUUCUAUAAAUAUACAAUAUGUUUGGGGUUUAUCUGUGUGCCUAGCAUUGUGCAAUAGUUAUAUUUUUCUUCAAGGACGGUGAAAGAGCUAUAACUUACCGAUCUCCGAUUCAAGUUCUUUUUUUGUAUGGAGGGCACUGUAACUAUCUCAUGGUCAGAACAUUCAUCCUGUUAGUAAUUUAGUCUAUAUUAUUUAGUUUCAAAAGAAAAUUUCUCUUCAGUGAGAAGUUUCCAUUUCUCUUGAGUGAGAAAUUUCCGGAGGGCGGCGGUGUUGAAGGGACCCGCGGGCGCUGGCCAAGAUCCCGAUCGAUGGACGCGCCUGGUCGCUGGAGCCAGAUCACGCGUCGGCUUGGGGACACCUCGGGGAUGUCCACAAUAGUGCGGGAUGGGGACCGAGCGUCGGGGCAUGUCGCGGGUUCCGGUUGAGGGCUUGAUCAUAUAACUGAAUUAUUAUUGCUUGCUUUCUGACAUUGUGACAUUGAACACUAGAGCUGAAUUGACUCUCUUCACAAGAUUCACUUUGAUACAGCCAUUUUCUUAAUGACAGUCUUCAUGUGAAGGUUUCAAGUACUACAUAUAGGAGGAGGCAGGAGUGGCUGCAAUCUUGCUACGAAAUGACACUUACGGAGCUUCUUUACCUAACAUGGCCAAGAAGUGUGCAUUGAUUUAGGAGGAGUGUACUGUUGAGAUCAAUGUCGGGAUCCGCAAGUACUACUAUUCAGAGUUCCCGUGGACUUUUCGUUCAGGCAAAUGAUAGCCUUCUUAAAAUUGCAUUUUGUUGUUGGUGUUUUAGGUUUCUAUUGCGUAGCAUCAGAUUAAUAUUGCCAAGCAUGAGCUGGCGGGGCAUAUGGAAGAUAUCCCAUGGGCCAGCAGCUGGAGCCUGGAAGCGGAUGUUAAUGCUCCAUAGCAGAGAGUUUAGGUUUACAGCAAGCAGCGACUACCAAAUUUUCCAUGGUUAGUGUUGAUUCCUAAUGAUCCGUGGUUUAUAACAUUGACGAUAACAUCUAGGCUAUCUCAAAUUUACCAUCAGAAUAGUGAUCUUUGUGCAUGAUUGGUUUAAAUUAAUUUUUUCAUCCCAGCUCUUCUGUUUACAGUAGGAUAUAAACGGAGAUUGUCAUGGAGAUGGUUGCCAUCAGUUCCAUUUUGUUGCACAUCACAAGCCUGCCAUUUUAGGUUGAUAUAUGUUUUCAAUAUCUUUACCUCUACUAUUUCAAGAAUGUGUGAUGUGUCACUAGCUUAUUCCAUUCUUGCAUUGUAGUACCUUGAGGUCUGACUCAUGCAUGCAGAUGGGGAGAUGCAUUCAUGUGCUUGCUGUUGCGUGCCAGUAGCUUCGUUCAGUUGCUUCAGUGGGAUAAAGUUACUCGAUGUGGAUUUUGUUCUGUAAACGUUCAACAAAUUUGCCAGCGAGUAGUUUGACACAUAUGAGCAUGAGGUUCUUCUGGUAACAAGUUCUUGAUGCGUCGAUAGGAUAAGUUUUACAGAAAUGAGAUGAUCUUCUUAAGGGAGGCAUUUUUACAUCUUUGCACAGGUGUACUUUUGCGGCUGUACUUUUGUUAAUUGAAAGUGGAAUUACCCCAAUUGAUAACCAAAUUUUGUGAUCACUGCCGACAUGGGGUUGACGAUGACGUCCCAGAGCCCUUGCCUCUGCUUGAUGCUGCGUCGAGCAAGAUGAAGCCAUCAGAUACGUGUGGUGUGUAGAGUCCGUUCUAAUCAAUGGAAAGGAAGUGGAGGAAGGGAAAUUGCCUACAGAGUUAUUUACAUUUCAACCUGAUCACAAGGCCAUUAGAGAUUGGACUAUUCCACUCGGUCCGAACUACAUUAGGUCAAUUGUACAUUUUAUUUCAAGUUACGAAGAAUACGAGCUGAGAACAUAUAGGAGCUCUAUGUGGUUUAAAUAUUUUUAGACGAAGUUUGAUGUACUUCUCAUGAAUAUCUUCGUAAACAGAAAUAAUGGUAAACCAUGCACUGCUACAUUAUGUUUCACCAGAAUCACUCUUUAUAAUAUCUUGUUGCUUUCA